rnacentral:tRNA from 2 species
GUCUCCAUAGCUCAACUGGAUAGAGCAACCGCCUUCUAAGCGGUAGGUUGUGAGUUCGAUUCUCGCUGGAGGCGCCA